rnacentral:rRNA from 1 species
AGUAACUGCGAGUGAAGCGGCAAAAGCUCAAAUUUGAAAUCUGGCAUCUUUUGGUGUCUGAGUUGUAAUUUAGAGGGGCAUUUUCAGGUUUAACACUAUUCUAAGUUCUUUGGAACAGGACAUCAUAGAGGGUGAGAAUCCCGUGCCUGGGUAGUUGUUUAAUCCUAUGUGAAGUGUCUCCGACGAGUCGAGUUGUUUGGGAAUGCAGCUCAAAAUGGGUGGUAAAUUUCAUCUAAAGCUAAAUAUUGGCGAGAGACCGAUAGCGCACAAGUAGAGUGAUCGAAAGAUGAAAAGCACUUUGAAAAGAGAGUUAAAAAGUACGUGAAAUUGUUGAAAGGGAAGCACUUGCGACCAGAAUCAAUCUUUGGGGGUCAUCUGGGUUUCGGCUUAGUGCCAUCCCUAUUGAUUGGGCUAGCAUCGGUUUUGGUGGUAGGAUAAAAGGUUGAGGGAAUGUGGCUCUCCUUGGAGAGUGUUAUAGCCCUUAUCAUAAUACUGCCUACCGGGACCGAGGAUCGCGCUUAAUAAGCUAGGAUGCUGGCAUAAUGGUCUUAAGUGACCCGUCUUGAAACACGGACCAAGGAGUCUAACAUCUAUGCGAGUGUUUGGGUGGAAAACCCUUGCGCGUAAUGAAAGUAAAUGGAGGUGGGAACCUUUUAACAGAGGUGCACCAUCGACCAGUCCUAAUGUUUUACGGAAGGAUCUGAGUAAGAGCAUAGCUGUUGGGACCCGAAAGAUGGUGAACUAUGCCUGAAUAGGGUGAAGCCAGAGGAAACUCUGGUGGAGGCUCGCAGCGGUUCUGACGUGCAAAUCGAUCGUCAAAUUUGGGUAUAGG